GGGACGUAGCUCAGCGGGAGAGCACCUGCUUCGCAUGUAGGGGGUCGUGGGUUCAAAUCCCAUCGUCUCC
rnacentral:tRNA from 1 species